AUCGCUUCUCGGCCUUUUGGCUAAGAUCAAAGUUUAGUUUCUGUUCUUAUCGAAUUAACCUUCGAUAGAGAUCCAAUUGGGUCUCGUUAAGGUUGUUU
rnacentral:snRNA from 1 species